rnacentral:misc_RNA from 1 species
GAUGAAGAACGCAGCGAAAUGCGAUACGUAGUGUGAAUUGCAGAAUUCAGUGAAUCAUCGAAUCUUUGAACGCACAUUGCGCCCUUUGGUAUUCCAAAGGGCAUGCCUGUUCGAGCGUCAUUUGUACCCUCAAGCUUUGCUUGGUGUUGGGCGUCUUGUCUCCAGUCCGCUGGAGACUCGCCUUAAAGUCAUUGGCAGCCGGCCUACUGGUUUCGGAGCGCAGCACAAGUCGCACUCUUUUCCAGCCAAGGUCAGUGUCCAACAAGCCUUUUUUCAACUUUUGACCUCGGAUCAGGUAGGGAUACCCGCUGAACUUAAGCAUAUCAUAAGCGGAGGA